rnacentral:rRNA from 1 species
CCUACGGGGUGCAGCAGUGGGGGAUAUUGCACAAUGGGGGAAACCCUGAUGCAGCGACGCCGCGUGGGUGAAGAAGUAUUUCGGUAUGUAAAGCCCUAUCAGCAGGGAAGAAAGAAGACGGUACCUGACUAAGAAGCCCCGGCUAACUACGUACCAGCAGCCGCGGUAAUACGUAGGGGGCGAGCGUUAUCCGGAUUCACUGGGUGUAAAGGGAGCGUAGACGGCCGUGCAAGCCAGGAGUGAAAGCCCGGGGCCCAACCCCGGGACUGCUCUUGGAACUGUGCGGCUGGAGUGCGGGAGGGGCAGGCGGAAUUCCUGGUGUAGCGGUGAAAUGCGUAGAUAUCAGGAGGAACACCGGCGGCGAAGGCGGCCUGCUGGACCGCGACUGACGUUGAGGCUCGAAAGCGUGGGGAGCGAACAGGAUUAGAUACCCCAGUAGUC